GAUGAACGCUGGCGGCGUGCCUAAUACAUGCAAGUCGAGCGAACAGACGAGGAGCUUGCUCCUCUGACGUUAGCGGCGGACGGGUGAGUAACACGUGGAUAACCUACCUAUAAGACUGGGAUAACUUCGGGAAACCGGAGCUAAUACCGGAUAACAUAUUGAACCGCAUGGUUCAAUAGUGAAAGACGGUUUUGCUGUCACUUAUAGAUGGAUCCGCGCCGCAUUAGCUAGUUGGUAAGGUAACGGCUUACCAAGGCAACGAUGCGUAGCCGACCUGAGAGGGUGGUCGGCCACACUGGAACUGAGACACGGUCCAGACUCCUACGGGAGGCCGCCGUAGGGAAUCUUCCGCAAUGGGCGAAAGCCUGACGGAGCAACGCCGCGUGAGUGAUGAAGGUCUUCGGAUCGUAAAACUCUGUUAUUAGGGAAGAACAAAUGUGUAAGUAACUAUGCACGUCUUGACGGUACCUAAUCAGAAAGCCACGGCUAACUACGUG
rnacentral:rRNA from 1 species